UUAAGCGACUAAGCGUACACGGUGGAUGCCCUGGCAGUCAGAGGCGAUGAAGGACGUGCUAAUCUGCGAUAAGCGUCGGUAAGGUGAUAUGAACCGUUAUAACCGGCGAUUUCCGAAUGGGGAAACCCAGUGUGUUUCGACACACUAUCAUUAACUGAAUCCAUAGGUUAAUGAGGCGAACCGGGGGAACUGAAACAUCUAAGUACCCCGAGGAAAAGAAAUCAACCGAGAUUCCCCCAGUAGCGGCGAGCGAACGGGGAGCAGCCCAGAGCCUGAAUCAGUGUGUGUGUUAGUGGAAGCGUCUGGAAAGGCGCGCGAUACAGGGUGACAGCCCCGUACACAAAAAUGCACAUGCUGUGAGCUCGAUGAGUAGGGCGGGACACGUGGUAUCCUGUCCGAAUAUGGGGGGACCAUCCUCCAAGGCUAAAUACUCCUGACUGACCGAUAGUGAACCAGUACCGUGAGGGAAAGGCGAAAAGAACCCCGGCGAGGGGAGUGAAAAAGAACCUGAAACCGUGUACGUACAAGCAGUGGGAGUCCUCGUUUAUGGGGUGACUGCGUACCUUUUGUAUAAUGGGUCAGCGACUUAUAUUCUGUAGCAAGGUUAACCGAAUAGGGGAGCCGAAGGGAAACCGAGUCUUAACUGGGCGUUAAGUUGCAGGGUAUAGACCCGAAACCCGGUGAUCUAGCCAUGGGCAGGUUGAAGGUUGGGUAACACUAACUGGAGGACCGAACCGACUAAUGUUGAAAAAUUAGCGGAUGACUUGUGGCUGGGGGUGAAAGGCCAAUCAAACCGGGAGAUAGCUGGUUCUCCCCGAAAGCUAUUUAGGUAGCGCCUCGUGAAUUCAUCUCCGGGGGUAGAGCACUGUUUCGGCAAGGGGGUCAUCCCGACUUACCAACCCGAUGCAAACUGCGAAUACCGGAGAAUGUUAUCACGGGAGACACACGGCGGGUGCUAACGUCCGUCGUGAAGAGGGAAACAACCCAGACCGCCAGCUAAGGUCCCAAAGUCAUGGUUAAGUGGGAAACGAUGUGGGAAGGCCCAGACAGCCAGGAUGUUGGCUUAGAAGCAGCCAUCAUUUAAGAAAGCGUAAUAGCUCACUGGUCGAGUCGGCCUGCGCGGAAGAUGUAACGGGGCUAAACCAUGCACCGAAGCUGCGGCAGCGACGCUUAUGCGUUGUUGGGUAGGGGAGCGUUCUGUAAGCCUGUGAAGGUGUGCUGUGAGGCAUGCUGGAGGUAUCAGAAGUGCGAAUGCUGACAUAAGUAACGAUAAAGCGGGUGAAAAGCCCGCUCGCCGGAAGACCAAGGGUUCCUGUCCAACGUUAAUCGGGGCAGGGUGAGUCGACCCCUAAGGCGAGGCCGAAAGGCGUAGUCGAUGGGAAACAGGUUAAUAUUCCUGUACUUGGUGUUACUGCGAAGGGGGGACGGAGAAGGCUAUGUUGGCCGGGCGACGGUUGUCCCGGUUUAAGCGUGUAGGCUGAUUUUCCAGGCAAAUCCGGAAAAUCAAGGCUGAGGCGUGAUGACGAGGCACUACGGUGCUGAAGCAACAAAUGCCCUGCUUCCAGGAAAAGCCUCUAAGCAUCAGGUAACAUCAAAUCGUACCCCAAACCGACACAGGUGGUCAGGUAGAGAAUACCAAGGCGCUUGAGAGAACUCGGGUGAAGGAACUAGGCAAAAUGGUGCCGUAACUUCGGGAGAAGGCACGCUGAUAUGUAGGUGAAGUCCCUCGCGGAUGGAGCUGAAAUCAGUCGAAGAUACCAGCUGGCUGCAACUGUUUAUUAAAAACACAGCACUGUGCAAACACGAAAGUGGACGUAUACGGUGUGACGCCUGCCCGGUGCCGGAAGGUUAAUUGAUGGGGUCAGCGCAAGCGAAGCUCUUGAUCGAAGCCCCGGUAAACGGCGGCCGUAACUAUAACGGUCCUAAGGUAGCGAAAUUCCUUGUCGGGUAAGUUCCGACCUGCACGAAUGGCGUAAUGAUGGCCAGGCUGUCUCCACCCGAGACUCAGUGAAAUUGAACUCGCUGUGAAGAUGCAGUGUACCCGCGGCAAGACGGAAAGACCCCGUGAACCUUUACUAUAGCUUGACACUGAACAUUGAGCCUUGAUGUGUAGGAUAGGUGGGAGGCUUAGAAGUGUGGACGCCAGUCUGCAUGGAGCCGGCCUUGAAAUACCACCCUUUAAUGUUUGAUGUUCUAACGUGGACCCGUAAUCCGGGUUGCGGACAGUGUCUGGUGGGUAGUUUGACUGGGGCGGUCUCCUCCUAAAGAGUAACGGAGGAGCACGAAGGUUGGCUAAUCCUGGUCGGACAUCAGGAGGUUAGUGCAAUGGCAUAAGCCAGCUUGACUGCGAGCGUGACGGCGCGAGCAGGUGCGAAAGCAGGUCAUAGUGAUCCGGUGGUUCUGAAUGGAAGGGCCAUCGCUCAACGGAUAAAAGGUACUCCGGGGAUAACAGGCUGAUACCGCCCAAGAGUUCAUAUCGACGGCGGUGUUUGGCACCUCGAUGUCGGCUCAUCACAUCCUGGGGCUGAAGUAGGUCCCAAGGGUAUGGCUGUUCGCCAUUUAAAGUGGUACGCGAGCUGGGUUUAGAACGUCGUGAGACAGUUCGGUCCCUAUCUGCCGUGGGCGCUGGAGAACUGAGGGGGGCUGCUCCUAGUACGAGAGGACCGGAGUGGACGCAUCACUGGUGUUCGGGUUGUCAUGCCAAUGGCACUGCCCGGUAGCUAAAUGCGGAAGAGAUAAGUGCUGAAAGCAUCUAAGCACGAAACUUGCCCCGAGAUGAGUUCUCCCUGACUCCUUGAGAGUCCUGAAGGAACGUUGAAGACGACGACGUUGAUAGGCCGGGUGUGUAAGCGCAGCGAUGCGUUGAGCUAACCGGUACUAAUGAACCGUGAGGCUUAACCUU
rnacentral:rRNA from 1 species